CUGGUGACUUUCCCAGGCAGCCCCGCGAGGAGACUGCGGCUCCGGGGAGAUUUCAAGUCCCAAACACCGGGGCGGGUCUUCCUCACCCAAUGCUGCACCGCAGGAGUCCAACAAGCCUCACAAGGUCAGUCAGUCCUGCUCACUUGUGAAUCAGAACAAAGAGCCCUGGAUGCAGAAGAGAGAGGAGACAGUAGCAAAGGAUCCCGGAUGAUCCUUUGACCUGGACCAGCAAGUCAUUCUUCAGUGACAGGCUCCUGAGAUGGAAGGUCCAGUGAUCAGAAUAAAGAAGAUAGAAAAAUGGGCUCAGGAGAUCUUGCACAAGCUG